rnacentral:rRNA from 1 species
CAGCCGCCGCGGUAAUACCAGCUCCGCGAGUGGUCGGGACGAUUAUUGGGCCUAAAGCGUCCGUAGCCGGCCUAUCAAGUCUCUGGUUAAACCUCAAGGCUCAACCUUGAGAUCGCUGGAGAUACUGUUAGGCUAGGGGGCGGGAGAGGUUGAGGGUACUUCGCGGGUAGGGGCGAAAUCCUAUAAUCCGCGAAGGACCACCAGUGGCGAAGGCGCUCAACUGGAACGCGCCCGACGGUGAGGGACGAAAGCCAGGGGAGCAAAGGGGAUUAGAUACCCCCGUAGUCCUGGCUGUAAACGAUGCGGGCUAGGUGUUGGGUUGGCUUCGUGCCAACCCGGUGCCGCAGUGAAGACGAUAAGCCCGCCGCCUGGGAAGUACGGCUGCAAGGCUGAAACUUAAAGGAAUUGGCGGG